rnacentral:tRNA from 1 species
UCUCUGGUGGUCCAGAGGUUAAGACUCUGUGCUCCAAACGAAGGGACCCUGGGUUCAAUCCCUGGUCAGGGAA